rnacentral:rRNA from 1 species
CGCGUGGGAACGUGCCUUCUGGUCCGGAAUAACCCUGGGAAACUAGGGCUAAUACCGGAUACGCCCUUUUGGGGAAAGGUUUACUGCCGGAAGAUCGGCCCGCGUCUGAUUAGCUAGUUGGUGGGGUAACGGCCUACCAAGGCGACGAUCAGUAGCUGGUCUGAGAGGAUGAUCAGCCACACUGGGACUGAGACACGGCCCAGACUCCUACGGGAGGCAGCAGUGGGGAAUAUUGGACAAUGGGCGCAAGCCUGAUCCAGCCAUGCCGCGUGAGUGAUGAAGGCCUUAGGGUUGUAAAGC